AAUCCGUGCUGUAGACACUUUUGCAAUAGGUCCUUGAAUCACUCCCAUGUCUCAAACAAGGACUCAAGCUUCAUCUGAACAAACGACGAUAUCUGAUUGUAAAGCUU